rnacentral:lncRNA from 1 species
CGGAACAAAGGAGGCGAGCGCAGCUGCACGCGCAGGGAGGCCCACAGCGUCCCGGGCCCCUCCUCCCCCGCCGCCGCCGGGGCACACCGCACCUGAACCCCACUCCCCAGGACGCCCCAUUGUUCUCCCUCCGCUUUCCUGCCCGGAGGAAGCCACACCGUGUCUUUCCAGGGGGCCAGGAAACAGCUGUGGGCCAGAGGAAUGGAGGGGCUGUGGGUGAACACGAGGACAGCCGAGAUUCGACUCUGCCCACAGACCAGCAAAGCCAAGGACAGAGAGGUCUUCAGGGAAUACAUGGCUAUGGUGGUUUGAAGACUCCCAUUAGAGAGUGGAUAUUAAUUGCCCUCCUUUUGAAUAUGGUCUGGACUUAGUGAUUUGAUUGUAACAAAUAGAAUACAGCAGAUGUGAUGCUAUGUGACUUCCAAACCUAGGUCAUAAAAGGAGAUGAAGUUUUCACCUGGCUCUCCCUUGGGACACUCACCCUUGGAACCCAGCUGCCAUAUUGUGAGGAAGCUCAAGCCACAGGGAAGGCCAUGUGUAGGUGUUUGGGCUGAUGGUGCCAGCUGAGGACCUGGUCUACUGCCAGUACAACUUAUAUCAAGCAUGUGAGUUGGCGAGCUUUUGAAAGAACUCCAGCCACAGUCACUGACCACGCUGCCUGAGAGACCUAGAGAGAAAACCUAGCUGAGCCAAAUCAGGCCCCGGAAAGAUAAAUAACCAGCACCUCUGCCUGCUUUCCUUACUCAAAUCUUUGAUGAGACCAUCUUUUCAGAAGAGGCAGGUGCAGCACCUUUGGAACCUGCAUUAACUCUCCCAGCAGACAAACAGACACAUUUCUUUCACAAGAGCCACCUCCUUUCUAAUUGAGAAGUCUGUUGCUCUUGGUGUUCUCCGGCCUGCCACGCCUACUACAGAAUGUAAAGCAUGAAAGAAAUGCUCCAGUUUUUAUAUAACUUUUUAUUUUGGCAUGCAACAAUCAGUAUUUCAACUUAAAGGAAUGAGGAAGAUGGGGAUUACAGACAUUUUGGUA